rnacentral:rRNA from 1 species
GUGGCGGACGGGUGAGUAACGCGUGGGUAACCUGCCUUAUACAGGGGGAUAACAACCAGAAAUGGUUGCUAAUACCGCAUAAGCGCACAGGACCGCAUGGUCCGGUGUGAAAAACUCCGGUGGUAUAAGAUGGACCCGCGUUGGAUUAGCUAGUUGGCAGGGUAACGGCCUACCAAGGCGACGAUCCAUAGCCGGCCUGAGAGGGUGAACGGCCACAUUGGGACUGAGACACGGCCCAGACUCCUACGGGAGGCAGCAGUGGGGAAUAUUGCACAAUGGGGGAAACCCUGAUGCAGCGACGCCGCGUGAAGGAAGAAGUAUCUCGGUAUGUAAACUUCUAUCAGCAGGGAAGAUAGUGACGGUACCUGACUAAGAAGCCCCGG